AAAGCUUUGUAAGCGCUCUGAAAAAGAGGUAGAUGGCAUGUGUAACCCUCAUAUCUUAUCUCCAGCCAAUCUAAACGAUAGCAAGGAUCUCCUCAUUUGUAUGUAUUAAUAACACUUCUUGCAUUGUUUUUUUAUGGUUGUUCGUAUUGGAUACAUAGUUUUUGUGUUUUCUUUUAAUUCGGAGUAUAAUACGUGUGUAUUCCCAUCAAGCACAUC
rnacentral:lncRNA from 1 species